UACGUAGGCUGCAAGCGUUAUCCGGAAUUAUUGGGCGUAAAGCGUACGCAGGCGGUCUGUUAAGUUGGAUGUUAAAGCCCUGAGCUCAACUCAGGACAGGUGUCCAAUACUGGCAGGCUGGAGAUAGGCAGAGGUAAGUGGAAUUCUGUAUGUAGGGGUAAUAUCCGUAGAUAUACAGAGGAACACCAAAAGCGAAGGCAGCUUACUGGGCCUUUUCUGACGCUCAUGUACGAAAGCGUGGGGAGCAAACGGG
rnacentral:rRNA from 1 species